CCUUCUUUGAGCUUGAGAAGGUUGAUGACCCCGUCAGGCUGACAAGGGACCUGCCGGUCUCCUCCACACAGGAUGGAGGCUGCUACAGCUUGAUCAGCGCCAUCAGCCAUUUUGGCUCCACAGAAAUGGGACACUACAUCAGCGAAGGCAUCCACCCAGACAACAAUCCGGACGAACCAGAUGAUCAUUGGCUCACCUACAAUGAUUCAAUGGUCUUUGAGACGUCCGGCAACUUAGUCUGUGAGCAGCAGGAGAGGGGUGCCUACAUCCUGUUCUACA